CGGUCAUUGUUUUCUGUUUUCUGUAUGCUACGGCUCCAUGCUCCUGUUCCAUGCACCUGUUCCAUGCUCCUGUCCCGUUUGCCUGGGUUGCAGAGCCGGCGUCCUGAGACGAGCCACUCAAAUGCUGGGAACAGAGCAUGGGAGGGUCCUGAAGAAUCCUGUGUUGUCCUCAGGGUUUGCUGCUUGCACAUGGUGGAAAGUGCUCUAACCGGCAGUCCAGUGAUUUUAGAGCAGACUUGGACUGUGCUCUGCAGGAACUGAGCGGAGUCACUGCAUCAGAGAACCUGCUGGUGAAAAUAACUGCUGGUCUUUGGUGGAUCUCCUGGACCUGGAACAUGAUGAGAGGCCAACAAACGUCCAGAGGAGGAACUGGGUAAAGACCCUGACCAGAGCAAUUAUUGGUCCACUGGAAGCCUGACCUGGUGCCUGUUUCAGAAAGCAGGUUCAGUGAAAACCCUGAGUUAGUCAACCCUGAGAUGAGGAAAACUCUGGUUUUUCAGUUUCAUAAAGCCAGUUCAUCAUAACUCUGAUUGAAGCCUGCAGACUGAAGGCAGUUGCAGACAUGGCGUGUCCGUUUCUCGAGGAGCAAGUUGAUGUCAAAGCACAAAUACUCUGCAGAAAUCUCUGUUGGGAGAGGAUUAUCAGACUCGGAUUGGAUGUUUUAUCAUUCCCUGAUGAGUACCUGUUUGUGGUUUCCAUUUCUAUGCACCAUCAAUAAUUUAUCUAAACAAUAUUCUCAGCCCUCACAUCACUUACAGGUGGAAAUGCUCUCGGUUCCAAGCAAAUUCUUUAUUUUGCACUUAGUUUUUUUGCCAACGGCAGUUUUUUGUACAACACUGGUGAUGCAGAGCAUGUGUCCAAGGCAGCUGUCGGUCGGGCUGUCAGAAAUGUGACAGUAGCACUGAAAUGACUACUAUACACGUUUGUAGUGUUCCCAUGUCACAGACCCACCAGACAUCUCAAGGAAGCGUUCCAUAGAAUUGCAUGUAUCAGUGUAAGCAAUAAUUAAUGUAAUGUCAUAAAGAUUGAGACUCGAGGCACUAAUCAGUCAAUUUAAUAUAUUUUAGGGUUUCCAGGUGUGAUUGUCUGCAUUGAUGGCACACGUUCCCGUCAUAGCCCCUUCAGUAAAUGAAGGAGAUUAUGUAAAUAGGAGAUCUGUCCACAGCAUUAAUGUACAGAUCAUGUGUGAUGCAGACUACAUGAUCAACAAUGUGGAAGCAAAGUGGCCUGGGACUACACUGAGUGAUACAUUUGCCUGUGGGGAGUUUAUAUAGAGAGAGUUCGAUGGUUACCUACUCGGAGACAGAGGUGAUCCUGCCUGCCCCAUCUGCUGACCCCUUACCCUGACCCUGAGCCCGGCCCACAGCAACGCUACAACAUAGCUCUCUGCAGGACAGGAGCCAGGGUGGAGAUGACCAUUGGGAUGCUCAAUGCCCAAAUUUACACUUUCAUAGUGGCAUGUGUAUUCCUACACAACAUUGCCACAAUCAGUGGGGAACGAUGUACGAGAUGGAAGAGAUGCUAGAGACAUGAUAUGCUUCAAUCAUUUCUAACUGACCCAUGACCUCCCCAGUGUCAAAGAGAGACAAUAUGCCUUUUAUUUUAUAAGGUCUUCUUUAUUUCCUGGAAGUACAAAUGUUGUACAAUUAAUCUUUGUUAUUGAAACAAUUAAAAAUCAUCCACCUGUGGGCACAUCACCCACCUUUAACUGAUGAUCC